rnacentral:rRNA from 1 species
GACGAACGCUGGCGGCGUGCCUAAUACAUGCAAGUCGAGCGCUGAAGGCCUGUACUUGUACCGACUUGAUGAGCAGCAAACGGGUGAGUAACGCGUGGAAAAUCUCCCUUUGAGCGGGGGACAAUAUUUUGAAACGAACGCUAAUACCGCAUAAAAACUUUAAACACAAGUUUUAUGUUUGAAAUACGCCAUUUCGGCACUCAAUGAUGAUCUCUCGUCGUAUUAGCUAGGUGGUGAGGUAAAGGCUCACCAAGGUGUUGAUACAUAGCCGACCUGAGAGGGUGGUCAGCCAGAGUGGGACUGUGACACAGCACAAUCGCCCACGGGAGGGAGCCGUACGGCAACUUCGGCAAGGGGUGGAAGUCUGACCGAGCAACGCCGCGGGAGUAUAGAGGGACGUCGGGUCGUGAAACUCUGUUGGUAGAGUAGAACGUUGGUGAGAGUGGAACGAUCAUCAAGUGACGGUAACUACUAAGAAAGCAACGGCUAACUACGUG